ACCAUUUUCCCUCCAAAGAAACACCCUGAGAUGUGAAACUGUUCGUGAAAAAUCAACCAUGAAAAUCCAACAGCGCGCUUUAAUCAACCAAGGAAAUUCAUUAAAAUCUUAUUCGAGUUUUGGAGUUCGAAUAUUCCUUUAUUCAUGAACUGAUUUCGCUUCAAGGGGUUCCGAAUUCGGUCAGGGUUAGGGUUGGGGUUUCAGUAGAGAUGGAUGUCGAGUGCAUCGCAGAGAAGAUUUGCAGCUCUUUGGGGGAACUGGUGAUUUUGGAAGACUUGGAUUCUCAAUGGAAGCCAGCCGUCUGCUCUGCUUUUGAGAAGGAGAGGCUCUAUUUUCUUAACAGGUUGGAAAUCCUUAUCACUUAAUAAGGGAGCUCAUCCGAGGCACCAAAUCUAUUGUUGAAGCAGGAAAUUUAUGAUCUUUUGUAGAUUUUGGUGGACCUUGGCGCAACAGUAAAGUUGUUCUAUUGCUAUUUGGUAGUAGCUGGUUCAAGUCGGAAACAACCUCUAUGCGAAGUGGGGCUAAAGCUGCAUAUAUUAUGACACUCCCCAUAGUGGUGGGAGCUUUGUGCACUAGGUACAUGCUUUUUUUUUUCUUCUUUAAAUUUUGUGGCCUUUUGAUUACUGAUCAUUGUGUUAUUGUAAUUUGGAUUUCACCAUCACUACUAGGGGUGUCAAUUGGGCGGUUCAGUUUGGUUUUUGUAGGGUUGAAUCGGUUUCGGUCUAGGAAUGAGGGAGACCAAAACCAAUCCGUUAAGGAACUUCGUUUUUGGUCGGUUUUCAAUUUCGGUCUGGUUUGGUUUCGAUUUAUUUCGAUUUUUCAAUAUCAGGUUAAUACUAGUUUAAAUCGAUUUAUUAUUAGGCUUUAACCAUAAUGAAAUCUUACAUUCACAACUUAUAGUGACAAGAUUUGACCAAAAAAACACUUUAAAUUUAUGAUUAAAUCAUGAUUUAUUAUUGUAAAGGAACUAAUAUUGAAACCAAUGGAUAACAAAUAACUAAAAAGAUAAUUAACGUUGAAAUCAUAAAAUAAACCCUAUUAUCCCCAAUCAUUCCUUCAACUAUCCAACUAGUUUUGUAUAGUGAACAAGGAAAUCAAUGGAAGCAUUAUUACAAUUUACAAAUCAAUUUAUCUAUUUAUAACCUAAUAUUUAAUGAUUUGUAACAAUUCCC